rnacentral:rRNA from 1 species
UGGGGAAUAUUGCACAAUGGGCGAAAGCCUGAUGCAGCAACGCCGCGUGAGUGAUGAAGGCCUUCGGGUUGUAAAGCUCUGUCUUUUGGGACGAUAAUGACGGUACCAAAGGAGGAAGCCACGGCUAACUACGUGCCAGCAGCCGCGGUAAUACGUAGGUGGCAAGCGUUGUCCGGAUUUACUGGGCGUAAAGGAUGCGUAGGCGGAUUUUUAAGUGAGAUGUGAAAUACCCGGGCUUAACUUGGGUGCUGCAUUUCAAACUGGGAAUCUAGAGUGCGGGAGAGGAGAAUGGAAUUCCUAGUGUAGCGGUGAAAUGCGUAGAGAUUAGGAAGAACACCAGUGGCGAAGGCGAUUCUCUGGACCGUAACUGACGCUGAGGCAUGAAAGCGUGGGUAGCAAACAGGAUUAGAUACCCUGGUAGUCCACGCCGUAAACGAUGAGUACUAGGUGUAGGAGGUAUCGACCCCUUCUGUGCCGCAGUUAACACAAUAAGUACUCCGCCUGGGAAGUACGAUCGCAAGAUU